ACCUCCUCAAUGCACUSAGUGUGAAGGGGUUACCUCGAGUGCCGUCUGAAGAAGGSGGCUUUUCCUUGGUCUAAAAAGCCUYGGGAAUAAGAGGGGGGCAASACUGGUGUCAGCCGCCGCGGUAACACCAGCCCCUCGAGUGGUGGGGAUGAUUAUUUGGCCUAAAGCGUCCGUAGCCGGCCGAGUAAGUUUCCCGUUAAAUCCAGCGUCUCAAGCGUUGGGCUGCGGGAAAUACUGCCCGGCUAGAGAGUGGGAGAGGUAAGCGGUAUUCUGGGGGUAGGGGCGAAAUCCUUUGAUCCCCGGAGGACCACCAGUGGCGAAGGCUGCUUACUAGAACACGUCUGWCGGUCAGGGACGAAAGCUGGGGUAGCGAACCGGAUUAGAUACCCGGGUAGUCCCAGCUGUAAACGAUGCACGCUAGGUGUUGGGUCGGCCACGCGCCGCCCCAGUGCCGCAGGGAAGCCGUUAAGCGUGCCGCCUGGGGAGUACGGCCGCAAGGCUGAAACUUAA
rnacentral:rRNA from 1 species